rnacentral:rRNA from 1 species
UGAGGAAUAUUGGUCAAUGGGCGAGAGCCUGAACCAGCCAAGUAGCGUGCAGGAUGACGGCCCUAUGGGUUGUAAACUGCUUUUAUCCGGGAAUAAAGUGAGGCACGUGUGCCUUAUUGAACAGUACCGUAUGAAUAAGGACCGGCUAAUUCCGUG